UUGAAUCUAUCGAAUCCACUUUGGUAACCCAACGUCCCCCUCGUGGCACGGCUGCCGCCGUGUGCGAGCGUCGGUUCCCUGGCCGUGGCUCCCCGAGCCGCGGUUUCAGGUCCGACGGGCGUCUUCCUCACAUGAAGGGGCUUCGGCCCCCCUUUGGGGAGCAGACGCUGGUAAUUUUUAUCCAACCAACCCACUCCAAACCUCAACAUAAACUGAAGCGCUUUUGACGGCACAGACUCGUCUGUCCGUCUCCAAACCAAAGACAACUCUCAACAACGGAUAUCUUGGCUCCCGUAUCGAUGAAGAACGCAGCGAAAUGCGAUACGUAGUGUGAAUUGCAGAAUUCCGUGAACCAUCGAAUCUUUGAACGCAAAUUGCGCCCAAGGCUUCGGCCAAGGGCAUGUCUGCCUCAGCGUCGGUUUACACCCUCGCCCUCCCCCUCUCUGUGAGGGGCGUAGGACGGACCUGGCCCUCCCGGCUCGGUCGGCCCUUCGCGGUCGGCUCCGGGUUGGCUGAAGCACAGAGGCUUGAGCAUGGACCCCGUUUGCAGGGUAAUGACUUGGUAGGUAGGAUUUCCUGCACAACCCGUCGUUGCCCGAGGGGACUUUGCUGGAGGCCCGGCAAGAAUUCGAGCGCGUGCCGUUGGUGCCCUCGGAACCCCCCACUUUUCGACCUGAGCUC
rnacentral:rRNA from 1 species